rnacentral:rRNA from 1 species
ACCAGACUCCUACGGGAGGCAGCAGUGGGGGAUAUUGCACAAUGGGGGGAACCCUGAUGCAGCGACGCCGCGUGGGUGAAGAAGCGCCUCGGCGCGUAAAGCCCUGUCAGCAGGGAAGAAAAUGACGGUACCUGAAGAAGAAGCCCCGGCUAACUACGUGCCAGCAGCCGCGGUAAUACGUAGGGGGCAAGCGUUAUCCGGAUUUACUGGGUGUAAAGGGGGCGCAGACGGCGAUGCAAGCCAGGAGUGAAAGCCCGGGGCCCAACCCCGGGACUGCUCUUGGAACUGCGUGGCUGGAGUGCAGGAGGGGCAGGCGGAAUUCCUAGUGUAGCGGUGAAAUGCGUAGAUAUUAGGAGGAACACCAGUGGCGAAGGCGGCCUGCUGGACGAUGACUGACGUUGAGGCUCGAAAGCGUGGGGAGCAAACAGGAUUAGAUACCCCGGUA